rnacentral:rRNA from 1 species
CAGUCGCCACGGGAAUACGGAGGGGGCUAGCGUUGUUCGGAAUUACUGGGCGUAAAGCGCACGUAGGCGGCUUUGUAAGUUAGAGGUGAAAGCCCGGAGCUCAACUCCGGAAUUGCCUUUAAGACUGCAGAGCUAGUAGGUGAGAGAGGUAAGUGGAAUUCCGAGUGUAGAGGUGAAAUUCGUAGAUAUUCGGAAGAACACCAGUGGCGAAGGCGGCUUACUGGCUCAUUCUAGACGCUGAGGUGCGAAAGCGUGGGGAGCAAACAGGAUUAGAUACCCGAGUAGUCCCUGUCUCUUAUAC